rnacentral:rRNA from 1 species
AGUCAACCUAACUCGUGGACGUGGAUAACCUCGGGAAACUGAGAAUAAACCACGAUAGAUCAUAGUGCCUGGAAUGGCUUAUGGUCCAAACAGUUUACUGCCAUGGGAUGGGACUGCGGCCUAUCAGCUUGUUGGUGAGGUAAUGGCCCACCAAGGCGAUUACAGGUACGGGCUCUGAGAGGAGAAGCCCGGAGAUGGGUACUGAGACACGGACCCAGGCCCUAUGGGGCGCAGCAGGCGAGAAACCUUAGCAAUGUGCGAAAGCACGACUGGGUCAGUCCGAGUGAUUCCUGAUAAAGGAGUCUUUUGCUUGUCCUAAAAGCACAGGUGAAUAAGGGGUGGGCAAGUCUGGUGUCAGCCGCCGCGGUAAUACCAGCACCUCGAGUGGUCAGGACGUUUAUUGGGCCUAAAGCAUCCGUAGCCGGCUUUGCAAGUCUUCGGUUAAAUCCACCUGCUCAACAGAUGGGCCGCUGGAGAUACUACAGAGCUAGGGAGUGGGAGAGGCAGACGGUAUUCAGUGGGUAGGGGUAAAAUCCUCUGAUCCAUUGAGGACCACCAGUGGCGAAGGCGGUCUGCCAGAACACGUUCGACGGUGAGGGAUGAAAGCUGGGGGAGCAAACCGGAUUAGAUACCCGGGUAGUCCCAGCUGUAAACGAUGCAAACUCGGUGAUGCAUUGGCUUAUGGCCAAUGCAGUGCCGCAGGGAAGCCGUUAAGUUUGCCGCCUGGGAAGUACGGACGCAAGUCUGAAACUUAA